AUGUCCUCCUUGCUCAGCCGCCCCUUGUCGUUGGUGAUGGUGAUCCUGUUCUUCACGCCGGCCGUCUUGUCCUCAGCGGAGACGUUGAGGAUGCCGUUGGCGUCGAUGUCGAAGCAGACGGUGAUCUGGGGCACGCCGCGGGGCGCCGGGGGGGAUGCCGGACAGCUCGAACUUGCCCAGCAGGUUGUUGUCCUUGGUCCGCGCGCGCUCGCCCUCGAACACCUGGAUCAGCACGCCCGGCUGGUUGUCCGAGUAGGUGGAGAAGACCUGCUCCUUCUUGGUCGGGAUGGUGGUGUUCCGCGGGAUGAGCGUCGUCAUCACGCCGCCGGCGGUCUCCAGGCCGAGGGACAGCGGCGUGACGUCCAGCAGGAGCAGGUCCUGCACCUUCUCGUUGCCCUCGCCGCUGAGGAUGGCGGCCUGCACGGCGGCGCCGUACGCCACGGCCUCGUCCGGGUUGAUGCUCUUGCACAGCUCCUUGCCGUUGAACAAGUCCUGCAGCAGCUGCUGCACCUUGGGGAUGCGGGUGGAGCCGCCGACGAGCACGACGUCGUGCACGGCGCUCUUGUCCAUCUUGGCGUCGCGCAGGCACUUCUCCACGGGCUCCAUGCACUUGCGGAACAGGUCCAUGUUGAGCUCCUCGAACCGGGCCCUGGUGAUGGUCGAGUAGAAGUCCACGCCCUCGUACAGGGAGUCGAUCUCGAUGGUGGUCUGGGCGGUGGACGACAGGGUGCGCUUGGCGCGCUCGCAGGCCGUGCGCAGCCGGCGCAGCGCGCGAGGGUUGCCGCUCAUGUCCUUCUUGUGCUUGCGCUUGAACUCCUGGACGAAGUGGUUCACCAUGCGGUUGUCGAAGUCCUCACCGCCCAGGUGGGUGUCGCCGGCGGUGGCCUUCACCUCGAAGAUGCCCUCCUCGAUGGUGAGCAGCGACACGUCGAAGGUGCCGCCGCCGAGGUCGAAGAUGAGCACGUUCUUCUCGCCGGAGCUGCUGGCCUUCUUGUCCAGGCCGUAGGCGAUGGCGGCGGCAGUGGGCUCGUUGAUGAUGCGCAUCACGUUGAGGCCGGCGAUGACCCCGGCGUCCUUGGUGGCCUGCCGCUGCGAGUCGUUGAAGUAGGCCGGCACCGUGACGACGGCGUUCUUGAUGGUGGUGCCGAGGUAGGCCUCGCCGAUCUCCUUCAUCUUGAUGAGCACCAUCGAGGAGAUCUCCUCGGCCGCGAACUGCUUCUCCUCGCCCUUGUACUGGACGACGAUCAUGGGCUUGUCAGCAGGGCCCGGGAUGACCUUGAAUGGCCACAGCUUCAUGUCGCUCUGCACGGACGGGUCCGAGAACCGCCUGCCGAUCAACCGCUUGGCAUCUGCGGUAGAGAUAUAACAAUACUGUGA
rnacentral:rRNA from 1 species